rnacentral:rRNA from 1 species
UGGGGAAUAUUGCGCAAUGGGCGAAAGCCUGACGCAGCAACGCCGCGUGAGUGAUGAAGGCCUUCGGGUCGUAAAGCUCUGUCGGAGGGGAUGAAAUGCAGGUGGGUUCUCCCCAUCUGUUUGACAUAGCCUCAGAGGAAGGACGGGCUAAGUUCGUGCCAGCAGCCGCGGUAAGACGAACCGUCCAAACGUUAUUCGGAAUUACUGGGCUUAAAGGGUGCGUAGGCGGCGCGGAAAGUUGGGUGUGAAAUCCCUCGGCUCAACCGAGGAACUGCGCCCAAUACUACCGUGCUUGAGGGAGAUAGAGGUGAGCGGAACCUAGGGUGGAGCGGUGAAAUGCGUUGAUAUCCUAAGGAACACCGGUGGCGAAAGCGGCUCACUGGAUCUCUUCUGACGCUGAGGCACGAAAGCUAGGGUAGCGAACGGGAUUAGAUACCCCAGUAGUCCCUGAGCGGGCUGGCAAGGCGCAU